rnacentral:rRNA from 1 species
UACGUAGGGUGCAAGCGUUAAUCGGAAUUACUGGGCGUAAAGCGUGCGCAGGCGGUUAUGUAGGACAGAUGUGAAAUGCCCGGGCUUAACCUGGGAACUGCAUUUGUGACUGCAUGGCUAGAGUUUGGCAGAGGGGGGUAGAAUUCCACGUGUAGCAGUGAAAUGCGUAGAUAUGUGGAGGAACACCGAUGGCGAAGGCAGCCCCCUGGGUCAAGACUGACGCUCAUGCACGAAAGCGUGGGGAUCAAACAGG